CAGGAAGUAGUUUAAUUAAAAUAUUAAUUUUGGAGAUUAAAGAUAAGGGUUACUUUCUUUCUGA
rnacentral:tRNA from 1 species